GAUAAACGCUGGCGGCGCACAUAAGACAUGCAAGUCGAACGGACUUAAUCGAAAUAUUUAUAUUUUGAAGCGGUUAGUGGCGGACUGGUGAGUAACGCGUAAGGAACCUACCUAUUAGAGGGAAUAACAGUGAGAAAUCAUUGCUAAUACCGCAUAUACCGAUAGAUAUCACAUGAUAACAGUGGGAAAGGAGCAAUCCGCUAAUAGAUGGCCUUGCGUCUGAUUAGAUAGUUGGUGGGGUAACAGCCUACCAAGUCGACGAUCAGUAGCCGGACUGAGAGGUUGAACGGCCACAUUGGGACUGAGAUACGGCCCAG
rnacentral:rRNA from 1 species